rnacentral:lncRNA from 1 species
CCGAAACUAUCAUAGCUUCUCUUCCUCUGCGAAUCUACGACCAUCUCAUCAUCGUACCUGCUCCAUUAAAUUUCCAGUGAUCGUUUUCGACGGCCUCCGACUGUCUUCCACCGUCGCUGAUCUCGUGGAAUUGUUUUUCGGGUAAGCUUUCUUCAGAGCUAACUCAUGUUUGUGGUUUUUGAUUUGUAGCUAUAUGAGAUUCAACUUUAGUCCUACGCAAUGAAUCUUUCUCUCAAAUUUGAUGUUGUAUUGUGAAAUUUAAUUCAUGGGUAAUAUGAAUAUUUGAAUAAUUCGAUUUGUGUUCUAUUGUUUACAGAUCUGGGCUCAUGGCAUCACGUAUUCGUUUAUCUUCUGGUGAGCUCUCUUUCUCAAUUGUUGUUAUGGAUGACAUAUUUGUUUGGUUUAUGAUAUCUAGAGAAAAAAGUAGAAGAAUCGGUUCUUCUUUGGUUUUUGUCUUUAACUUGAAUUUUUUGAAUGGCUGGAAGUGUAAACGUACAAGUUGAUAAGAAAUCUUUUGCUUAUGACAAUUGGUGUAUAUCGAAUAACUAAGUAGUAUAAAGAGAAAAGUGGGUUUAUAAGCUGUUUUUUGGUUACAAGCAGUUGGCUCACCAGAGCUAUAGCCUUUGUUUAAUCAUAUGAUCAAAGUGUUAUUUGUAUGGAUUAGCGCUUCAUUUGUGUUCACUUUGAUAGGCAUAUAUAAGUCUGACGCUUAUUUUGGUUGUUUAUAAUGAUGUAUCUGUUGGAUGCAGGGUUUGGUGCGCUCCUACUGCAAAUGAUGGUGUAACUAAUGAUGUACUUUCUGGUAAUUCUCUCUCUCAAACUAUACGUGUGUGUGUGUGUAUAUAUCAUCAGAGAGGAUGUAGAGCGGACGUCCGCACUCGGCUUAAAGUGCGGACGUCCGUCCGUUCUCCACCCUUCGGCGCCGGCGACGGCGCGCCUCCACCCCAGAAGACUCCAGCAGCAUCCCUGACCACUUUCCCUCCUCGCCGGAAAACUGGAAAAGAAUUGAAGCUGUUAAAGUUAAACAUUUAUACGACAAACUGAAUCAAAGCAUUGAAGAUUCUAAUGUCUGAUUAUGUUGAGCUUUUCCACGCUCUUGAUAAAGAGGAAGAAAAGAUGGAGUUCAUUACUCAGCUUAUUUCUUAGUUCAUCACCCAAUUUUUUGUCUUACUAUUGGUUUUUGUCUUGAACUCUGCUGAUCAGUACAUCUGUAGUUUGCUUUGGUCUACUUUGAUUUACUAGAGUAAAUUUUGUACUUGAUUU